CCUCCCAAAGUGCUGGGAUUACAGGCAUGAACCACCACACCCAGUCUACAACCAGUUCUUGUUCCCAGCUUUCUCCGUGUGGUAGUACUAAUCUUACGGCCAACCACCAGAGAAUCUUAAAUAGUUGAAAAUUUCUUAAGGGGUAACCUACUUCAGACUCCUGCCUCACCUGGGAAACGACUGACAACAUGAUUAAGAUCCAAGGCUCUAACUCAGUAUUCCAGGGUUCAAAUCCUGGCCAUACUAUUUGCAAUGGAUUCUUGAGCAAGUAACUUCACUCUUCCAUGCCUUGGUUUCAAUGUGAUUAAUGAUAGAACCUAUUUCAUGUGGUUGGAAUGAGGAAUACAUGAAACAAUACAAGUAAAGUACUUAGCUCAGUACUCAGCACAUAGUAAACAAUGUUAGCCAUUAAUAUUAGUCAACAGAUAUUUAUCAUUUUUUCUUAAACUCUGACAGUGCUAGAACUCACACAACUCUUCAGGGAAGCUCAUUCCAACAGUGGAUAUUUGUCAUAUUUUGAAAAGUCUCAAUUCCUUCAACAAAUAUUCCUCAGGUGUCCACUAUAUACCAAGCAUGUUCUAGAGCAUGAGAACAAAGAGAUGACUGAAAACAGUGUUUGUCCUCAUAAAGUCCCUAGUCCAGCAACAGAACUCAGUACCAGGUGGCCCGUGGCUGUCCGUCCCUCUCAGCCCAUUUGGAGGUGACUCUUGCUUCUCUCUUGAUGGAUCAGCUUUCACUGCCCACCCCCAGGGACAUGACCAAAGAGGUUCCUCCUCUCUACCCCUAAGCGGUGAGUCCAUAGGCUCCCUGGAGAGUUCAGUCAUCUCUUCUGGAGCAAGUCACCUAGCAGCAGUGAACCUCCAUUUCUUUAUCUCAAAAAUGGGAGUCAAUAAUCCCUGCCUUAUUGAUGUCACUGGAUUGUCAUAAAAAUGACAUCAUUAUGUAAAGGUCUUUGUAACCUGCCACGUACUCUAUAAUGAUGAGAUACUCCUUAUAUUAAACCAAAGAAAGAAAUGACUCUGCUAAAGAUGGAAUUUUAGACAUCAAAUUAGAACUGAGAGACACUCAAAGAUUCUGGACUGUCUUCUGAGCAGAGAAUAAAAAGUAGCUAUCAUCUGCCCACCACAGACAUGAAAAAACAAGAAAGACAGUUUGCAGAGAGGAGAGAAUGAAACAGGACUGUAGAGAGAAGCAGAGACAAGAAAUGGAUCUUCCCAUCUCGUCAUGAGCUUCCACUUCCAGUGCUUGGCCUUUGGACUUUUCUCUUCAUUAUGCCAUUGGCCAGCAGUGUGACCACAUGGAAGCAGCAUGGGCUCUGAAGCCAGGCUGAUGUGUGUCCAGAUCUAAGCCCUGCCGUCUACUAGCUUGGUGAUCUUGGGUAAGUUAUUUAAUCUCUGAGAGUCCCAUUUCCUCAUUUGUAAAAUGGGGAUAGUCAUACUUAAUACAUGGAAUUGGUUCAAAGGUUUAAAAAUGAGCCAAGUUGUAAAAGAUUGGUGCUUAGCAUGUUCUUUGUAACUGAUUAUCAGUAUUUUUCAGAGACAGCAUAAAUUUUGGAAUCAGAUUCAAAUCCUGGCUUAGUCACUUGAUAUGUCUCUAACUGCAAGUUACUUCUUUAAGUCUCAGCUCUAAGUGCCAUGAAGGUCAAGAUCUUGUCUGUGGUGUUCACUGUUGUCUCCUUAGCAUCUAACACAGAUCCUGACACAUGGUUGUUGAAUGAACCAAUAAAUGAAUGAAAAAUUAAGAUAAUUUCUUACCACACUAUAGUGAGAAUUCUAAAAACUGUACACUCUGUACCACUUACAGUUACAAUGCCCAGUACACAGUAGGCCACAAUAACUGAUUUUUGAUGCUCAAAACAAAUGAAUAUAAGAAAAUAGGAUAUGUAAAGUCCUUGGGCAUUCAUGCUCCCAUAUUUAUCAUGUAAUUAUAGGAGUAGGCAAUAAGAGGAUGUGGCUAAAUGGCUGGCCUGAUGACUAAUAUCGUCUAGCAUUAAAUUGUGUUCAUACCGCCAACACAACACUAUUAAAGGCAGCAAGAAUCACUUGUUUGUUUAGUAAAUAUGUAUUGAGCACAUAGGAUGUAGAUGACGCCAAAAUGGACAAAAUAUUUAUGAACAAGUACAUCUAUAUCAAGGACAGAAUGUGGAGAUGCUUGCUUUCUAGGAAUUGAGGCCUCAGAUGACUGGAGUUUCCAUAUAAAGGAGUUUCCAAAAAGAUCGUAAUGAAUAGACAGAAUACUUGGUAGCCCCUUUCUUUAAUUCGAAUACUACUUUCAUAACUGUGACAUUUCUGCUUCCACUCAUUUAGGCAGAGAGAGUAACCCCUAUGACCUUUGGUCAUCAAUGCAGAUAGUGGAGAAACAGAUUAUGGAGGUUGGGACAAGGGAGUUUCCUACUGCCCUGGAUGUUUCCCUCCCAGUAUUGCAAUAGGAUGGGAAGGAGGACUGCAUAGAUAUAAGGAAUAGGUGGUGGGAGGGUGAACUGCGGCUGUGAGUCUAAAGUUAAAUGAUCAUACCACACCUCAUCCAAAACCUGGCUUCUAGGUGAUUUCACCUAAAAUAUUCCAAACUGAUGCAUGUCAUUCAUGUUCUCCAACACAGAUAAGAGAGUAGACUCCAUAGGUAGUAGCAGAGUCCUGUUUCUCAAGAGGAGGAAAAAGUCCUGAACUGUUAUGCUGAAUUAUCAAAUUUGAAUUUUGUUACCACAUAUUUAUAUAUUGAGACCAAUCAAUCUUAAUUCAAAAUAUAUAAUAUGACAUAUAGUUAAAACAAUAGUAUAUGUCUUCGUAUAAUAAUUUCUAGCCAAAAGAGCAAGACAGAAACCUCCUAGUCUAGCCUUAAGCUUCCUUAGCUCCCUUUGUGCCCUGUAAAGCACUAAUGGUGUCAGUAGCUUUCUGGCCACAACAGGAUACACAGGAUACUGGUAGUAACAGCAAUACGCUCGAAAAAUAAUAAGCAGAAAAUGUUCUAGGAUCAAGGACACAUGAAGAAAAGAAGGUGGGAGGGAGGGGAGGAGAAGGAUGAGGCAAGAAAGAAGAAGAAAGGAGGAGCUCAAAGGAAUGGUCCUUCCACUCUCACUGGCCUUUGGGGAGCUUCUGUAUCAAUUAGCUGGGGAACACGGUGCUGACCUAGGUGAAACAUGAUGCUGGGAGAAUCUUCUACAUCAGGCCCCAGGCUGUAUGAGUACCCCAGGCCACUUCUGGCGGAGUAGCAAACUGCAGUAGGUGAUCCUUCUGGCUCCCUUUAGUCUAGUCCACCCACUUGGUCAACCCCAAAAUGAACAGAGAUAGAAAGGGGAUGAAAAGUAGUUAGGAGUGAACAUAUGUGUGGAAGAGAAGCAGAGAAUUAGCCCCAUUCCUGGACAUGGGCUCACGAAGGUUUAUUUUGGGUAGGCCAGAUGUGAAAGACUUCUCUAUUUUCUAGUGUUCCCAGGGCAACAAAAAUCAGGGCUCAUGUCAUUUGUGAUGAAAAGGAAGUUUAGACUUUUACCAGGUUCUCCUUCCUAAGUGCUUCUGAAAAUCCCCAAGGAAUGCUUACCUGUUCCACACAUCUUCCCUAGCUACUGCUUGUCCCUUCAGCUAAGAGCUAGACUGCUGCUCCAGUCUUCAGCAGGCCACCCCUGGCCAUCUCAGAACCACCUUCCAGAUUGUUGCCAGGCUUCCCUAUCUGCUGUAUUCCCGGCACUGACACAUGCCCAUCCCUGAAUCCCUGAAGUACCACAACAAUCAGGAGGCUUGGGAUAACAGAAGGGAAUUAUGAUAUAGAAAACAGCAUUUUCCUAAAAAAGAAUUGGGCUCCCAAAUCCUUCACCUGCCUCAGGUUGCAUCUUUUCUACGUUGCUGAUUACAAUUUUUUGCUUUCCUUGGCUCCUAACUCCCUCUGUGGAAUGAGAGUGGGCAGCUCCAAGUCCUUUUAUCCAAGAGAAGAAGCCCUUAGGGCUCUGCAGGUGCUGUCAACCCCACCAUACCUCUGAUUUGUAUCUGCCAACAUGGAACAGACAUGGAGAGGAUAAAGAAGUAGGAAGAAGCUGAGAAGAAGGGAGAUGAGAAAGUGCUGACUGAAACAUCAGCACUAUGCUCUAUGGCUCAGAAGUGUCUUCUAAUAGUAACAUUCUAUAUUUUAUUUAUAUAACAACUUUUCUCAUGAGUUAUGCUCUUAUAAGAAAAACUGAAGGACUAUCAAUAGAAAACUUAACCAAGCUGCAAUUUUUGUAACAUGAGGUUGCAGAGUAUAUUCUUUUUUAGGAAGAUGCUAGGCCUGCCUUAUCCCGAAAGAAAAAAGAAUAUGCCUUGUUUAUUGAAAUUGCUAAAAUAUUAAAUUGAUAUCAUGAGUCCCAUUUUAGUGUGUCUGAGUGAGAAUCUGUUGAAGCAGACGGGACAUUAUGGGAAGAAAUCUUACAAAGUAAAAUUAGAUUUUUCAUACACAGAGUAGCAGCUGUUCAGAUUGCAGGAAAAUCCUUAGAAGCCAUUUAUCAGGUGGCAAUGUGGUGAACAACAAAGACAACUCUUCUUUCAGAUGUGAGAAUGGUCCAGCACACCUCUGUGACUGCAGAUGACAGCAUGCUGUGUUCCAAAUAUUGGAACUAUUGAAUAACUGAUGUUCAAAGAUUUAUACAUCUGAAUGAACAUUCUAGAGUGCAAAUUGCCUUUGACUUAACGUGACCAAAAACAGAAUUCUAAAGUGUAAUCACAUGCUGGAUGUGCCCAACGACUAUGAUACAGAGUGAUGUGUGCAUAGGCCAGUGGUUUCUUUAGGUACAAGACAUGCCAAACACAACUGAAUAGCCAGGUUUGAGAUUAGGCAAGUGUUUUAAAGUAGAAAAAGCCACAAUUGGGAUAAAAACAAAGCAAGAAUAUGGGAGACAAACAAGAAAGUACAACGGAGUAAUUGCAACUAAGGCAACUCAAUUGGUAGAUAGGUCUAAGAACCAAAGAGUUCAAACAUUUGUAAAUUAUUUUCCUGCUUUUGGACAGACAGGUCAAAGUUACUUUUCUGAACUAGAAAGAUUUGUAGGGAGAUGAAUUUUAGAGGCAGUAAAGGGCCACCCCAAAGUAAAACUGUCAAGUUAAUAAAGUCUGUUGUCAUGAUGACAAUAGCUUUUGAGAAGAGGAUUGACAUGAUGUCAACGUUUUGUUUUGAGGAAGAUUAAUCUACUGGUAAUAAGAAAGAUGACUUGAAAGGGGACGGGCAGGGUGGAUUCAGGUUUUGUGUGUCUGAAGCUAAUACCAGCUUUAAAAGGGUAGGGGCUCUGUUUAAGAAAAAGAAUACAGAUUCAAGUAUACAAAAUUUGCUAGGGCCCUUCCCAGAGCCUUUGAAUGGCUUCAUGCAAGGAAAGGAGUCUGAAGGUUAAGCUUCCUUACCUUCGAUAAGCCACCUCAUAAGCAGAUGAUAGCUAAGCCACUAACAGUGUCACCCUCAUCUUGCCAGCCACCCAAGUGAGACCCCCAGGAGUCAUCUUUUAUCCUUCAUCCUAUUUCCUCUUCAGUCACCAAGCCAUGCCCAUUUAAUUUCCUAAGUAUUUCUCAAGUUCAUUUAUUUCUUCAUUCUUCAUUCCAGUACCUUAGAUCUACCUGUCACUGCCUCUUAACUACUCCAUUGCAAAUAGCUUUUCCAAACUCGUUCCCUGUUUCCACCCUGUUUACCUCCUAGAAACCUAUCCUUCACCCAGCCGCUCAGAAUACUCUAUCUAUGGGUAGAUCUGAUAAUCUCACACUUCUGGUUAAUACUCUUCAUUAAAGCUUCAUCAGGAGAAGGCCCAAGCCUCCAUAGUAUUAUAAGCAAAGCCUGUGUGAUCUCACCCCUUUGUCAGCUCAGCUCUUGACACCCUUGCUUUGCACUUCUCACAUGUCAGCACAAUACUGCAUUUCUGGCAAAUGCCUUGAAAGUUUUUACAUCUGGGUUUUUGGUUCCUGACUGACCUCUUGGCUGAGAAUUAUCUCCCUUUUCCCUCAUCCCUCCUCCUUCUAAACUCUCUUUACCAGGCUCACCUUUUCCUGGGGGUCUUCAUAGAGACCCACCCCUCUGCCCCCAUCAAGCUGGUGAGGUGCCCUCCUCUGUAAUGACACAUACAGUGCUCCAUCAAGGCACUCAGCACCCUGUGUUAAAAGGACCUGUUUAUAGCUGCCUUUCCCUCUCCUCUCCAGACUGUGAUCUCCUUGGGAAUAGGAGCCACAUCUGAUGCAUUUUUUUAUCCGCAGCACUUCACAGAAUGUAGGUCUCACUAGAUAUUUUUGAAUGAGUGAACAAAUUAAUGAUGAAAUCAAGCACUACAUGAGUUAUUCUCUGUGAUAGAGCAUAGAAAGAUAAGAGAUAGUUCUGGGGUAUGUCUAAGCUUGUGAGUAGGAGAAAGAAAAGAAAGCAAUUAAACACAGAAGACAGAAUAAUCAGUAAAAGGGAUCAAUAGCUAUCGUUUAUGUUGUUUUUCUACUUAUCAUCAAGUUACGUUUCUACAAUGAAUUCAUAUUCCUUUUUAAAAAUGAAAGAAAGGAGUUUAUUAGGGUAAUUGCUAAGCUACUGAGACAAAAAGACCACAAAAUAGAAUGAUGAAAAUGUAGUGUAAAUGUAAUUCUCUCACAUGUAAAAAUCCAGUGGUGAUCAGUUUAGGGCUGGCAGAGGAGCACUGCUGUCCUCAACAUGCUAGCCCUGCCACCUUAACAGCAAUUGCUUCCACUAUGGUUUGAACUUUCCCCCAAAGUUCAUGUGUUGGAAACUUAAUCCCCAAUGCAACAGGAUUGUGGGGUGAGGCCUAAUUGGAGGUGUUUAGGUCAUGAGGGCUCUGCCCUAAUAAAUUGAUUAAUGUCAUUAUCUUGAGAGUCGGUUUGUUAUGACAGUGAAUUCAACCCCCUCUUGCCCACCCUUGUGAUGCCUUCUGUCAUGUUUUGAUUGUAAACCAAAAGUAUCUGAGACAGCUCUUGGUCAAUUUAGAAAGCUUAUUUUGCCAAGGUUAAGGACACACCUGUGUCACAGCCUCAGGAGGUUCUGACGACAUGUGCCCAAAGUGAUUGGGGUACAGCUUGGUUUUAUACAUUUUAGGGAGACAUGAGACAUGAAUCAACGUAUAUAAGAUGUACCUUGGUUAGGUCCAGAAAGGCCUGACAACUCAGAGGGGGGCCUCCAGGUAACUGGUAAAUUUAAAGGUUUUAUGAUUGGCAUUUGGUUGGAAGAGUUAUUAUCAAUAGAAAGAAAUGACUGGGUUACAAUAAGAGGUUGUGGAGACUAAGGUUUUAUCAUGCAGAUGAUGCCUCCAGGUAGCAGGCUUCAGGGAGAAUAGAUUGUAAAUUCUUAUCAGACUCAAAGAGUCUGUUCUAUCAGUAAUUACAAAAAGGAUGAGGGCAUAAUGAGACAUGUGUGGAUCCCACUUCCCAUCAUGGCCUGAAUUAAUUUUUUAGGUUAACUUUGGAAUCCCCUUGGCCAAGAGGAGGGGUGCAUUCAGAUGGCUGGCAGGACUUAUAAUUGUAUUUUUGGUUUACAUGAUGCGGCAAGAAGGCCCUCACCAGAUGUGGCCCCUCAAUCUUGGAUUUACCAGUCUCUGGAAUUAUAAGCCAGAUAAACUUCUAAUGUUUGUAAGUUACUACCCAUUCUGUGCUAUUCUGUUAUAGCAGCACAAAACAGACUAAAAGCUUCCAACCAGUGGUGAGAACAAAAGACAAAUGACAGGACAAGUAGUCAGCUUAAGGGAAGGCAUAAUUUGCCCCCACUCUUGGCCAAAUGUCCAUACUCAACUGCAAGGGAGACUGGAGAAUAUCGUUUCUAGCUGAGCCUCCACAGCUAACAUAUGAGACAGGUUCAUUUUUAUUUUAUUUUUUUAAGGACAGGUUUCACCCUGUCACCCAUGCUGGAGGGCAGUGGUGCAAUCAUAACUCACUGUAGCCUUGAACUCCAGGCUCAAGUGUCCUCCCACCUCAGUCUCCCAAGCAGCUGGUAUUACAGGAGUGAACCACCACACCUGGCUGAAAGUUUUAUUCAUGAAAGGAAGGAGAGAGGAAUACCAGAGACAAGUGGCCUGAUGUAAAGUCUUUUGUUUCUACAAAAUGAGAAAGAAAAAGAAUGUUUUAGCAAAAGCCAGAUUUCAUGGGAUUAAGAGUUUUUGGGCAGCGAACAAGUGAAGAUGAAAAAGUGCAGAUAUUUAUUCAGAUAUAACAGUAAACAGAAAAAAUAGGAUGAUGACAAGAAAGAACUAAAGAGUAAUAGGUGGUGGUGUUUUUGUUUGUUUUGUUUUUCUUGAAGGAGUAGUGCCCCAGUGUAUUAGUCAGGGUUCUCCAGAGAGACAGAACCAACAGGAUAUAUGAAAGGGGAUAUAUUAGGGGGAUUUGACUCAUAUGAUCACAGAGGUAGAGGAGUCCCACAAUAGGCCACCUGUCAGCUGGAGAACCAGAGAGCUGGUAGUGUGGCUCAGUCCAAAUCCAGAAUCCUCAAAACCAGGGAAGCCAACAGUGCAACCCUUAGUCCAAGGUCAGAGGUCCAACAGCCCCUGAGAAGCCUCUGGUACAAGUUCUAGAGUCCAAAAGCCAAAGAACCUAGAAUUGGAUGUCCAAGGGCAGGAGGAGAAAAGGUGUCCUGCUCCAGAAGGGAGAGGGAGAGAAUCUCCCCUUCUUCUACCUGUUUGUGCCAGCUAGGACCCCAGCCCACGUUGGAUGGUGCCCACCCACAUUGAGGGCAGAUCUUCCUCAUUCAGUCCACUGACUCCCAAAUCAAUAAUCUCUGGAAAACCUCACAAAUAAACCCAGAAAUGAUGCCCUACCUGCCAUCUACACCUCCCUCAAUUCAGUCAAGUUGGCACCUAAAAUUCACCAUCACACUGAGUAUGUUUGGAGACAUCAGUGGAGAGAAAGAUAAAAAACUGACAUUUGGCUAGGCAUGGUGCCAUACCUAUAAUCCCAGCUACUGGGGAGGCUGAGGCAGGAAGAUUGCUUGAGCCCAGGAGUUUGAGGCUGCAGUGAGCUACAAUCAUGUCAACACUGCACUCCAGCCUGGGCAACAGAGUGAGAUGCUAUCUCAAAAAAACAAAACAAAACAAAACCUGACAAUCACCCAAGUGCUGUAGAAUACAUAUUCUUUUCAUCAGCACAUGGAGCAUUCUCCAGAAUUGACCACAUCUUAGACCACAGGACAAAUAUCAAUAAAUUCAAAAAGGUGGAAGUCAUAUCUCAUAUAUUUUCUGACCACAAUGGAAUAAAACUAGAAAUCAAUAAAACAAGAGGAACCUCAGAAAAUACAGGACAUGAAUAUUAAACAACAUGCUCCUGAACUACCAGUGGGUCAAUGAAGAAAUUAAGAAGGAAAUUAAAAAAUUUUUUGAAACAGGCCUGGCACGGUGGCUCAGGCCUGCAAUCCCAGCACUUUGGGAGGCUGAGGCGGGUGGAUCACCUGAGGUCAGGAGUUCGAGACCAGCCUGGCCAACAUGGUGAAACCCCCACCUCUACUAAAAAUACAAAACUUAGCUGGUGUGGUGGCAGCCGCCUGUAGUCCCAGCUACUCGGGAGGCUGAGGCAGGAGAAUCGCUUGAACCUGGGAGGCGGAGGGUGCAAUGAGUCAAGAUCGUGCCAUUGCACUCCAGCCUGGACAACAAGAGCGAAACUCUGUCUCAAAAAAAAAAAAAGAAAGAAAGAAAUACUAUCAUAAUCUUUACCUUCCCUUCACCAGACACUCCCUACACAGCAAGCUGACCCUGUGCUGACUUAGAACCUCCAGAGCACCAGAUUACCUCAAGACAGCACAGUCAAUUUACAACCAAAAGUAUGCCUGCAACAGAACUCUCUGCCACCUGGAGAGUAUCCCCAGACGAUGGCCACUUUACAACCUAGCUCUGCCUGCAAUGGUGCCAGCUCGACCACAGGGUAGAUAAGACACCAUAAGUGAGUCAAGUAAACCCCCACCUGCUGGCUCCCUCCCCUGCAUGCUGUUCAUGCCAAGUGCCCCUUUAAAAGCCCCUACUUUCUGCCCCCAAAGAAAAGCAUUAUCCUUAAAAGGAAGAACCUGUAUUUCUUCUCAUAAGCUAAGCUUUGGAAUAAAUCACUUUCUUUAUAACAGAUCCCGCUCUCGUUAACUGGACUCUGCAAGCAGUGAGCAACUGAACCUGUGUUUCAGUUACAGUACGGCAGAUGCCUCUUCAGUCACACUGAAUUCACAUUUGUCCCCUGGUGGCUAGAAGAAUCCAGAUGUACAUGAUAAAUCCACGGAACACAUAUAUGAAAAAUGGAGAUAACAAAGCAUGUCGAUCUUGAAAAGAUGUUACAUGAGCAAUCCUGUAGGUGGGACCCUCCAUGGCCACAAAGGGCCAGAGGUUUUAGCUACUUUGAUUUUCUACCAAGAGCUCAUCCUCCCUUCCCUCUAUCCUUCCCUCCUCAUCACCUUCCUGACCCACUAUUUGCUUUUAAUUUUCUCCAUGUUCUUCUGCAUAUGAUCACCUUCUGGUUUUUGUUCAAUCUCAAAGAAAGAUUUCUAAUCUCUGCCAAGAUACCCACCACUUACCGGGUUAAGAGCAUGGACUCUUAACUCAAAAGACUUGAGUAGCAUCUUAGUCCUUGACCAAUUUAACAUCUUUAAGCCUCAGUUUUCUCAUAUGCAAAUGGAGAUAAUACCUACCUUGUGAUCGGCUUCUGAGAAUUAAAUGGGAUGUCCACGUAAAGUUCUUCGCAUAAUGUUGGCACCUAGUGAUCACCAAUAAAUGUUAAUUUUAUGUAACAGUGCUACCAGAUAAAGCAGCUGGCAUCAGCCCAAAGCCUGACCAGUUCAGGCUGUUGGCUCAAGUGAAAAUAAGUAAUAAAGGAACAUCAAAUACUGGGAGGAAUUACACACAUCCCUCUGGAACAACCUUUAACUAUGUAGACCUUGAAUGAACCAGGAGCCAGAAGGAGUGCAGUCUGGUUUUAACAGCAGUCAGCCUUGGUAGGGCCUCCUGGGGUUGGCCUUCACAACAAUAGGAAGUGCUGAGUCAUCCUGCCCCCGGGGUAGGGUGGGGAAGCAAGCAGAAAUCCUUCAUGGCAGGCCUCCGAGCAAGCAUUCCAGGGCCUACUCUGUCCACUCUGGUCUCCUGACCCAUUUACAGCUGACCUUCUCUUUGUCACAACCCUAUUUAUUCUCCCAUCUCUCGCCCACUGAUCCAACUGGUUAUUUUCCUUCUCUGGACUCAGACCUCCUGAUCCCAGUUCUUGAGGUGCAGCCAAAUGGUCAGGUGUUCUUAUAAACACCUGAACAUUUUCUCCUUUGAAUCAUGGGAUGCCCUGAGCAGGAAAAGUACUAACUUUCUUGUGGGAACAUUGCUCCCGUUCUUCUUUUAAGAGUUAAAUGAGAGGGAGGAAAAAGCAAGUAAAAGAUCUGCACAAAGUGGAAACAUAAAAAUGAAGCUAAGGGGAAAAAUUAGAUGUGUUUUCCAAAAGAUAGAUGGAGCGCAACUAUGUUAUUAAUUUCCUAAUCUUGCCUGUGCAAUCCAAGGGCAUAGCCAGAGUUGUAAAAAUGGCUUGCCAUCUAUUCUGUUAUAAAUUCUCCCCAUAAUAAGUAUCAAUUUUGGUAACUAAUUGACCCUAGCUUUCUACUGUAGGACUGUGAGAUGCAUGGUUUGUUCUGAUUGUCAGGAUGCAGAGCUCUGCAGCAGACUGCAGGUGUCAUGAGUUACAGAGCUGGUCAACACAGAAAAGGAGCAACACAGGAAACGCAUUUCAACAUCUUCAGUCACUGGGGAACCUGAAUUGGCAAAAAUACUUGCCCUUUGAAGUCUUAAAUAUACCAUCCCCCGCCCCAUGUUUCCAUCUAAGCCCCCUACUUCCUGUUUCCUCGCUUGUCAAAUGCGAAGUUGUUACAAGUCUCAAUGAGGAGACUCAGUCCCUACUGAUCCUCUUGCAACCUUGAUCACAGCCCCUGCAAGCAAUAGGAGGUGAGAGGGGCUGAGCAGCUCACAGAGCAGAAACUACCAUCUCUGCAUUUCCUUCCCUCUUACGUACCAAUCUCUGAGAUUGCAUUCUCCCAGCCAGUGGUCACUUUCCACCCCUCAGGUGAUGCAAACAAUAGUCAUCCCAUUGCGGAGGCACCCACAACCUGACUAUGAAUCUUUCUCCACACUGAUCCCUGAAAGUGGCUGUGGAGUGGCUAAGGUUCCUCCAGAAGUGCCUUUGAAGAGGAUGCUUUCCCAGCAGACAAUGAGGGCUGCUCUCUGGUUCACAGAGGGCACACUAUUGGCCCAUUUCCUGAUCUCGAGAUUGUUCUUCUUGGCCAACAUUAUUCAAAGCUUGCCUUCUGUUCACCAGGUCCUGAAAGUUCUGACUUCAAUAUUUGUGCUGAAGAUCAGGCCCCUCGUUUAAAUUGUUACUCAUAUUUGUUUGCAGACUGAUUUUUUGUUUUAGACCCUCGGUCUGUGUACUCAUAUUAAUUCUCCUGGUUGCUAAUGAAAUGAACUGACACAACUUAUUUUAUUUAGUUAGAUUUGUGUUAUUAUUGAGGAACAGGACAGAAUUGUGGAAGGAUAAUUGAGAACUUUUAAACUACUACAGGUUAUUUAAGUUAUUAUUUUAUUAACAUUUCUGAUUAUAAACCUACUGCAAAGUCAUUUUACAAGACAUAAAAAGCUGGGGAAAAUUUAAAUUACCAAGAUAAAAGCACAAUAAUCUCACCACCUAACAGCAAUGAUUAUUCAUUUUGAUGUAUUUCCUUCCAAUCUUUUUCCCCUACAAUUUUUAGUAGGAAUAGUAGGUCUAUUUUUAUUCAUAGCUUAUUCUUCAUUGAAAAAUGGACACUGUUCAAGGGGUGUAGCAUACAUAUUUGCUAGUAUUUCCAACAACUCAGAAAAAUAGGUGUUGCUAAAAUUGUGGAAACUGAGUCCCAGGAUGAUGAAUUAGUAAAUUGUUCAAGCUAGGAUUUAAUCCACACUUGUUUUACUCCUAGGGCUAAAUGCUUUAAGAAGUGAACUCUAAACCAAAGCCUUUUUGUGGAUAUUAUGGAAACAAUGAAAUGCUAAGACAGGGCUGUGGAGAGGUUGAUGCUAUCCCUAGUGAUAGUCAGAUCUGUCCAGUUUAUUGUUAAACCACAUCUACUGAAAGAAAUUUCUUCAUCUGUAUGUAGCCAUUUUUAAAAAGAGAUUUAUUUCUCCACGAAUCCAAACUAUCAAGGCCCAUCAUUGUAAGCCGACUAGAAAGGAAUGGAGAAACUCCUCUGAAACAUCCACAAAGCAGCCCAGUGGGAAGUACACUAAAAGGGAGAGGAGAGUAAAUCUUUGGCAGUUUGGACCACUUUCAACAUAGCACGAGCCUGGGCAAUAUCGUGGCUGCCGGAGACUGCCAGCUACAGAUGAAGCCAGGACAGCAGGGUCCAGGGCUAUUGCCCAGACAUGAAUAGAAGUCAGUGAAGACAGGCAUGUAGUUGCAGUUCUGCUAAAAACAUCUGGGCUCAGAUAAAAACAUAUAUCAGGCAAUUCCUUUGCUAGUCCUGUGCUAGCUUUGGGGCAUUAAAAUAAGUACACACAAAGAAUGGUUUCGCUUCCUUGCCCACAAGGAAUUUCAUUCAUUCAACAAAUAUUUAUUGAACACCUAUGGUGUGCCAGACAUGUUCAGGCUAUAUGUAUACAUCCGUGAACAAAGCAGACAGAGAUCCCUGCUGCGUGUAGCUGACUAUUCAGUGGGAAAAGACAGACAAUAGACAGUAAACACAAUUGAAGCAAGUUGUGCAAAUUCCACAGCCUGCCGUGGUUGCGGUAUAAAGAGCAAGCUUUACUGGGGAAGCUCACAAGUCCAGGAUCAACAAGAAGAGGCACGUGGUCCCUCCAUCUGAUAUUCAUUUUAAGCUCAUUUGUUUCCAAUGUCUGUGUGUGCUCUCAUUUUCCUUUUUAAUUUUAUUAUUUUUAAAUUUGUAAAACCUUUACAUUGCUCAAUAUAUUUAAAGCAAUAUCACCGCCUCUACACAAAAUAUAGAAUUCUAUAUAAAUAUAUAUAUAAUCUAUCUAUUCAUCCAAUCUUUUGUUCCUAAUCUUGGUUUUUUGUUUUUUUUUUUUUGAGACAGGGUCUCACUCUGUUGCCUACAUUGGAGUGCAGUGGCACAAUCAGGGCUUACUGCAACCUUGACUCAAGCGAUCCUCCCACCUCAGCCCACUCAAAUAGCUGGGACUACAGGCCUGCACCACCAGCUGGGCUAAUAGACAAGGCUUCACCAUGUUGCCCAGGCUGGUCUCAAACUCCUGGACUCAAAUAAUCCACCCACCUCAGCCUCCCAAAGUGUCAGAAUUACAGGCAUGAGCCACUGCACCCGGCUGAUAACUUUUCUUUUUCAUAGCUAUUUCGUUCUCUAUUUUGUGGAUGCACCAUAAUUGAUUUAACAAGUCCCCUGUUGAUGGAUAUUUGUUAUUGUUUUUCUCUCUUUUUUUCUUUUCAAUUUGUAUGGGUUCAUAGUAGGUUUAUAUAUUUAUGGGUUAUGUGAGAUAUUUUGAUACAGGCAUACAAAGCCAAAUAAUCACUUCAGGAUAAAUGGAGUGUUCAUCACCUCAAGCGUUUCUUUGUGUUAGAAAUAUUCCAAUUAUACUCUUUUAGUUAUUUUUAAAUGUACAAUAAAUUUUUGUUGACUGUAGUCACCCUGUUGUGCUAUCAAAUACUAGAUUUUAUUCAUUCUAACUAUAUUUUAGUAACCAUUAACCAUCCUCAUUUUCCUCCCCACCCCCACUACCCUUCCUAGCCACCAAUAACCAUUAUUCUUUUCUUUAUCUUCAUCAGUUCAAUUGUUUUAAUUUUUAGCUCCCACAAAUGAGUGAGAACAUGUGAAAUUUAUCCUUCCAUGCCUGGCUUAUUCCAUUUAACAUAAUAUCCUCCAGUUCCAUCCAUGUUGUUGCAAAUGAUAAGAUCUCAUUUUUUAUGGCUGAAUAGUACUUCAUUGUGUGUGCACCACAUUUUUUUUUAAUUUUACUUUAAGUUUCAGAAUACAUGUGCAGAACAUGCAGGUUUGUUACAUAGGUAUACAUGUGCCAUGGUGGUUUGCUGUACCUAUCAACCCGUCAUCUAGGUUUUAAGCCCCACAUGCAAUAGGUAUUUGUCCUAAUACUCUCCUUCCCCUUGCCCUCCACCCCGCAACAGGCCCUGGUAUGUGUUGUUUCCCUCUCUGUGUCCAUGUGUUCUCAUUGUUCAAUUUCCACUUAUAAGUGAGAACAUGCGGUGUUUGGUUUUCUGUUCCUGUGUUAGUUUGCUGAGGAUAAUGGCUUCCAACUUCAUCCAUGUCCCUGCAAAGGACAUGAUCUCAUUGUUUUUUAUGGCUGCAUAGUAUUCUAUGGUAUGUACGUACCACAUUUUCUUUACCCAGUAUAUCAUUGAUGGACAUUUGGGUUGGUUCCAUGUCUUUGCUAUUGUAAAUAGUGUUGCAAUAAACAUACAUGAGCAUGUGUCUUUAUAGUAGAAUGAUUUAUAUUCUUUUGGGUAUAUACCCCAGUAAUGGGAUUGCUGGGUCAAAUGGUAUUUCUGGUUCUAGAUCCCUGAGGAAUCGCCACACUGUCUUCCACAGUGGUUAUACCAAUCUACAUUAACACCAAUAGCAUAAAAGCAUUCCUAUUUCUCCACAGCAUCACCAGCAUCUAUUGUUUCUUGACUUUUUAAUAAUUGCCAUUCUGACUAGCGUGAGAUGGUAUCUCAUUGUGGUUUUGAUUUGUAUUUCUCUAAUGAUCAGUGAUGAUGAGCUUUUUUCCAUAUGUUUGUUGGCUGCAUAAAUGUCUUUUGAGAAGUGUCUAUUCAUACCCUUUCCCCACUUUUUGAUGUGGUUGUUUUUUUCUUGUAAAUUUCUUUAAGUUUCUUGUAGAUUCUGGAUGUUAGACCUUUGUCAAGUGGGUAGAUUGCAAAAAUUUUCUCCCAUUCUAUAGGUUAUCUGUUCACUCUGAUGAUAGUUUUUUUUUGCUUGCAGAAGCUCUUUAGUUUAAUUAGAUCCCAUUUGUCAAUUUUGGCUUUUGUUGCAAUUGCUUUUGGUAUUUUCAUCAUGAAGUCUUUGCCCAUGCGUAUGUCCUGAAUGGUAUUGUCUAGGUUUUCUUCUAGAGUUUUUAUGGUUUUGGGUUUUACAUUUAAGUCCUUAAUCCAUCUUGAGUUAAUUUUUGUAUAAGGUGUAAGGAAGGGGUCCAGUUUCAGUUUUCUGCAUAUGGCUAGCCAGUUUUCCCAGCACCAUUUAUUAAAUAGGGAAUCCUUUCCCCAUUCUUGUUUUUGGCAGGUUUGUCGCAGAUCUGAUGGUUGUAGAUCUGUGGUGUUAUUUCUGAGGCCUCUGUUCUGUUCCAUUGGUCUAUAUGUCUCUUUUGGUACCAGUACCAUGCUGUUUUGCUUACUGUAGCCUUGUAGUAUAGUUUGAAGUCAGGUAGCAUGAUGUCUCCACCUUUGUUCUUUUUGCUUAGGAUUGUCUUGGCUAUACAGGCUCUUUUUUGGUUCCAUAUGAAAUUUAAAGUAGUUUUUUCUAGUUCUGUGAAGAAAGUCAAGGGUAGCUUGAUGGGAAUAGUAUUGAAUCCCAGUGUUUUCUUUAGUAGUUUCAUAGUUUGAGGUCUUAGAUUUAAGCCUUUAAUCCAUUUUUAUUUUAUUUUUAUAUAUACCCAGAGAUAGGGGUCCAGUUUCAUCCUUUUGCAUAUGGACAUCCAGUUUUCCCAGCACCAUUUAUUAAAGAGACUGUCCUUUCCCCAGUGUAUAUUCUUGGCACCUUUGUCGAAAAUGAGUUCACUGUUGAGUAUGUAUUUAUUUCUUGGUUCUGUAUUCCGCUCCAUUGGUCUAUGUGUCUGUUUUUAUGCCGGUACCAUGCUGUUUUUGUUACUAUAGUUCUGCAGUGUAAUUUCAAGUCAUGUAAUGUGAUGCCUCCAGUUUUGUUCUUAUUGUUCAGGGUAGCUUGGGCUAUUCUGUGUCUUUUGUGGUUCUGUAUACAUUUUAGUUUUUUAAUUUUGAUUUCUGUGAAUAAUGUCAGUGUUAUUUUGAUAGGGAUUACAUUGAAUCUGUAGAUCGCUUUGGGUAGUAUGGACAUUUUAAUAAUAUUGAUUCUUCCAAUCUAUUAACAUGGAGAUGGAUAUUUGGAUUGUUUAUAAUCACAUGCUACUAUACAUAAUGUCUCUCAAUAAAUAACUUUCUUCACA